GAGCAGACUGAGACUUAGAGAAGAUGAGUAACUCACUCAAGUCCAUGGGAUUCGUGAAUGAAAGAACUAAACUUGGACCCAGGUCUGUCUGAUGCAAAAGCUUCUGCUGGUACAGUCAUGUUCUACUGGUUUCUGUGAUGUUUUCCUCCCUCUACAUUUAAGCAUCACAGAAUCACUGGCUGGAGUCAUGACAUCUCAAAGGAAGAAAAGAUCAUAGAGGUCAUCUAUUUGUUCCAACUCCUGUUGGCAUUGAGGAGAAAAUGUAAGCCUGACAUUUCCAGCCACGUAUCAUUUGCACGGAAAUUUGUGGAGAGUUGGACUAAAUCUCAAGAUCCCUUCAAGUCUAAAGAAGAUUCUGCAAAUACUAACAACCACAAAAUGAAAGGAACGCAAGUCCAGUGGUGGAUUUUUUGCAGACUUUAGCAGGCUCUGGCACCAUGCCUACCCCUCAGGAAUGUGCUGGAUGAGUCUACCAAUGUUUGUGGUAAAGGAAUGUGAUUCAUGAAAGGAUGAACCUCCCUAGAAGGCUUGGUGAGCUCAAGGAUGCUCUCACACUUCUUCAAGGGGAGGAAAAGAAAGUAAGAACUUUGAAUGCAGACACUAAAUGACUUGGAGAUAGCUUUCAGUGAUUUAUGAUAUAGUUUUGAACUUUUUGGAAAAUAUGGCUCCUCCUUAAACUAUUAAGGUAAACUCAGUUAUCUAAAUUAGAGAGCUUCUCAAAACCUUGAUGUGCAUAUGAAUCAUUUGGGGAUCUUGUUUGGAUGCAAAUCCUGUGAUUGGGUGGGGGGCUCAGGUAGGACUGAGAUUCUGCAUUUCUAGCAAGCUGCUUGUCCCCAGACCUCUCAGUAGCCAGGCUCUAAAAUAUAACUCUCCUGAACACAGUCCCCUACUCCAUAGUACUGUAUGCGCAUAUACACAUGCUUUAUAUAUAUCUUUAUAUUCCUGCUUUCUCAAACAUUAAUUGGGAAAUAGGCCAUUGUUACAGAAACCGCAAUGUGCUUCAUGGAAAAAACAUUGGAUACAAAGGCAAAACAUUGACAAAUUGAUACUUUCUUGCUUGGUCAUGCCUGAUUUAAGGAAAUGAAGCCAAAAUAGGCUAUGUGAAUUGGAAAUUGACUUCAACCACAUUUAAAUUAUUCUCUUUUAAAAUAUUAGCAGUUGAGUGUGUAAACCAAUAUUUAUUUUCUAAUCAAAGGUUUGUGGCAAAUGGUCUAUAAAUGAAAGAAAUGAGGGAAGAAUGCUUUGAAAUGCUUCUAGUAAUAGAAAUGGAAAUAGGAUAUUUUAUUUCUUUAAAUGGCAGACACAGGCCUCAACUAAAAUUCAUCCUGCUCUAGGAAAAGGAAAUUAUAUGAAAAGUUGAUCAUAGUAUAAAAGCACAGGCCAGCACCUCUCUGCCAGCGAUCAUAAUAAGUAUUUUUUGGUGGAAAAAAAAGUUGACGAUCCAGCUACAUUAAGGGAGAAUCUAUUAACAGAGUAAUUGUAUAGAGAGGAUCCCUUAAGAAAAGCUUCCAAAAUUCCAUUAUCUUAACUGUCACUCGCCACUUUGAGUUGUCUUGGAGCUGUGUGUUUUCAUGAAUUACCAGAGCUGUUUGUUUUUUCCUUUAUCAGUCAUCACCCUGUCAGCCGGGCCAUUCAUAACAACUUUUGGCAGCUCAUCAGGAGAGUUCAGAGCUUGAAUAGGACCCUAUCAGCUCUCACACCUCAUUGUGUGAAACUGUUUACCACCAUUGCCUUUUUCUGUAAAUAUUACAAGCAGAGCCCUGAAAGUGGAGACGUGUGGAAACAAAAUGGACAAAUCUUGUAGCAGUUGGCUGAGAUGGCAGAUGGGGGGUGACUGAGAAUUUACAAGUCCUUGUGUUUCCUUUAUUCGGCUGAAUACUGCCCAGUCACUGGGCUUGCCUUCUCGUGUAUGCUUGUUAAUUAGACAAUAUUUAAUUUGACUUAACAUUUGUGUCAGUUUGGUGAAAGUGAGACUUUGUAAUUAGGGAGUACAGACCAGGUUUCUGUCACAAUUCUACUCACUUACCCUAAUUUAAUGCCCCCUUUUCCAGUGUAUUGUCACACUUGGUGUGCUGAGUUCCCCCGCUGUCUUUUAUGUUUGCCUAGUAACAAGGUGGCCCACAUUAUACAACCACCAGCAAAUGGACUCUGUCUCCUGGACUUAACAGCCUGAAGUUUCUGCCAGAUUCACCCAUCAGAAAUAAUUUCUUAUUUAAAGCAAAUGUCAACAAUUCUCUAUUGAAGCUAAUAUCAUGAACUUGCAAAUGGUACGCGGGCCUCUCACUGUUGUGGCUUCUCCCGUUGCGGAGCACAG